AAACUAACAAGGAUUCCCCUAGUAACGGCGAGUGAAGCGGGAUGAGCUCAAAUUUGUAAUCUGGUGGACUCAGUUCAUCCGAAUUGUAAUCUAUAGAAAAGUUUUCCGCGCUGGACCGUGUCUAAGUCCCUUGGAACAGGGUGUCAGAGAGGGUGAGAAUCCCGUGCUUGAUACGACCACCAGUGCUAUGUGAUACUUUUUCAACGAGUCGAGUUGUUUGGGAAUGCAGCUCAAAAUGGGUGGUAAAUUCCAUCUAAAGCUAAAUAUUGGCGAGAGACCGAUAGCGAACAAGUACCGUGAGGGAAAGAUGAAAAGCACUUUGGAAAGAGAGUUAAACAGUACGUGAAAUUGUUAAAAGGGAAACGAUUGAAGUCAGUCGUGCUCUCUAGGACUCAGCCAGUUCUUCUGGUGUAUUUCCUAGUGAGCGGGUCAACAUCAGUUUAGAUCGCUGGAUAAGGUCAUUAGGAAUGUGGCUCCCUCGGGAGUGUUAUAGCCUAGUGUCGCAUACAGUGGUUUAGACUGAGGAACGCAGCUCGCCUUUAUGGCCGGGGUUCGCCCACGUCCGAGCUUAGGAUGUUGACAUAAUGGCUUUAAACGAC
rnacentral:rRNA from 1 species